rnacentral:rRNA from 1 species
AUUGAACGCUGGCGGCAUGCCUUACACAUGCAAGUCGAACGGCAGCACGGGGGCAACCCUGGUGGCGAGUGGCGAACGGGUGAGUAAUGCAUCGGAAUGUACCCGGUAGUGGGGGAUAACCAGUCGAAAGACUGGCUAAUACCGCAUACGCACUACGGUGGAAAGCGGGGGACCGCAAGGCCUCGCGCUAUCGGAGCAGCCGAUGUCCGAUUAGGUAGUUGGUGGGGUAAUGGCCUACCAAGCCCGCGAUCGGUAACUGGUCUGAGAGGACGACCAGUCACACUGGGACUGAGGCACGGCCCAGACUCCUACGGGAGGCAGCAGUGGGGAAUUUUGGACAAUGGGCGCAAGCCUGAUCCAGCAAUGCCGCGUGUGUGAAGAAGGCCUUCGGGUUGUAAAGCACUUUUGGCAGGAAAGAAAUAGCGCGUGCUAAUACCAUGCGCGAAUGACGGUACCUGCAGAAUAAGCACCGGCUAACUACGUGCCAGCAGCCGCGGUAAGACGUAGGGUGCAAGCGUUAAUCGGAAUUACUGGGCGUAAAGCGUGCGCAGGCGGUUUUGUAAGACAGGUGUGAAAUCCCCGGGCUCAACCUGGGAACUGCACUUGUGACUGCAAGGCUAGAGUGUGUCAGAGGGAGGUGGAAUUCCGCGUGUAGCAGUGAAAUGCGUAGAGAUGCGGAGGAACACCGAUGGCGAAGGCAGCCUCCUGGGAUAACACUGACGCUCAGGCACGAAAGCGUGGGGAGCAAACAGGAUUAGAUACCCUGGUAGUCCACGCCCUAAAC